rnacentral:rRNA from 1 species
AGAGUUCGAUCCUGGCUCAGGAUGAACGCUGGCGGCGCGCCUAACACAUGCAAGUCGAACGGCACCCACCCUCGGGUGGAAGCGAGUGGCGAACGGCUGAGUAACACGUGGAGAACCUGCCCCCUCCCCCGGGAUAGCCGCCCGAAAGGACGGGUAAUACCGGAUACCCCGGGGUGCCGCAUGGCACCCCGGCUAAAGCCCCGACGGGAGGGGAUGGCUCCGCGGCCCAUCAGGUAGACGGCGGGGUGACGGCCCACCGUGCCGACAACGGGUAGCCGGGUUGAGAGACCGACCGGCCAGAUUGGGACUGAGACACGGCCCAGACUCCUACGGGAGGCAGCAGUGGGGAAUCUUGCGCAAUGGGGGGAACCCUGACGCAGCGACGCCGCGUGCGGGACGGAGGCCUUCGGGUCGUAAACCGCUUUCAGCAGGGAAGAGUCAAGACUGUACCUGCAGAAGAAGCCCCGGCUAACUACGUGCCAGCAGCCGCGGUAAUACGUAGGGGGCGAGCGUUAUCCGGAUUCAUUGGGCGUAAAGCGCGCGUAGGCGGCCCGGCAGGCCGGGGGUCGAAGCGGGGGGCUCAACCCCCCGAAGCCCCCGGAACCUCCGCGGCUUGGGUCCGGUAGGGGAGGGUGGAACACCCGGUGUAGCGGUGGAAUGCGCAGAUAUCGGGUGGAACACCGGUGGCGAAGGCGGCCCUCUGGGCCGAGACCGACGCUGAGGCGCGAAAGCUGGGGGAGCGAACAGGAUUAGAUACCCUGGUAGUCCCAGCCGUAAACGAUGGACGCUAGGUGUGGGGGGACGAUCCCCCCGUGCCGCAGCCAACGCAUUAAGCGUCCCGCCUGGGGAGUACGGCCGCAAGGCUAAAACUCAAAGGAAUUGACGGGGGCCCGCACAAGCAGCGGAGCAUGUGGCUUAAUUCGAAGCAACGCGAAGAACCUUA